rnacentral:rRNA from 1 species
AUUGAACGCUGGCGGAAUGCUUUACACAUGCAAGUCGAACGGCAGCACGGACUUCGGUCUGGUGGCGAGUGGCGAACGGGUGAGUAAUGUAUCGGAACGUGCCCAGUCGUGGGGGAUAACAUAGUGAAAAUUACGCUAAUACCGCAUACGAUCUAUGGAUGAAAGCGGGGGAUCGCAAGACCUCGCGCGAUUUGAGCGGCCGAUAUCAGAGUAGGUAGUUGGUGGGGUAAAGGCCCACCAAGCCAACGAUCUGUAGCUGGUCUGAGAGGAAGACCAGCCACACUGGAACUGAGACACGGUCCAGACUCCUACGGGAGGCAGCAGUGGGGAAUUUUGGACAAUGGGCGAAAGCCUGAUCCAGCCAUUCCGCGUGCAGGAUGAAGGCCCUCGGGUUGUAAACUGCUUUUGUACAGAACGAAAAGGUUUCUACUAAUACUAGGAGCUCAUGACGGUACUGUAAGAAUAAGCACCGGCUAACUACGUGCCAGCAGCCGCGGUAA